rnacentral:tRNA from 1 species
GGCGGGUUGGUGCAACGGUAGCACGCCAGUCUCUGAAGCUGGAACUGCUGGUUCGAAUCCAGAACCCGCAACCA